AUGCACAUGUCAUUGACCUGCUUCCUUUCCAUUGGCAAGCAGUGUUAUUUCUGAUGUGCUACAGGAACAGUUGAAGGCUAAUUAGCAGCUUUACUCAUUUAGUGACUGCUGCCAGUCUCCUUCAUACAUAG